GUGUUUUUCAUAGUAUUAGAUAUAAGAUUAAUUAAAAGAGAUUGUACCAGCUUGUGAUAAGUAAGUACGUCAGAAACAGAAGCGUCUGUUUUUUUGAUAAAUGUGUUAAAGCAUCGGCUUUCUUUAAGUCGAUGCUUUUUUAUU
rfam:Bacteroides nordii CL02T12C05 genomic scaffold supercont1.1, whole genome shotgun sequence.